UCUCUGGUUUACAGUAAUUAAUUUUCGGACGAGAGGGCAAACUGGUGGGCGCAAUAUAACAUUCAAUUAUAAAUAUGAGAAUCUUAUAAAAUUAAAACAUUUAGUUUUGAGUGAAUAUCAUAUUAUAGAUAUAUCAAGUUAUGUGGAAGUGUAUGGUAUGCAGCAAGUAACAGUCGGAAAUUCAGGAUCUGAAGUAGUUAAAUACAAGAGCUGUAUAUAAAUACUUUUGUUGACCUAGUACAGUUGGCAGAAGGAUUUGGAGAAUUGAAUUCCCUUGCUAAGCUUAAUUUGAAAGGUUGCUGCAGAUUGCAAGAGCUCCCAUGUGAUUUGCAGAAGCUUUUCUCAUCAGUCACUGAACUUAUCACAUUUCUCCAUUCUCAUUGGACGACCAGAAGGGACUGAGAACUUACCAUACCUAACAAAUAUGAGUUUGUGGCUGUAGUCUGUUAUCUCGUCCUCCUUACAGGGUUGAGGAGCUGCCUUUCUGGAGAGUAGAGUAUUAUUAUCUUCCAAGUGUUCAGGUUUGAAAGAACUACCAGAAGAAAUUUUCAAAUUUAUGAUGCUGAUAAGCUUAACAUUGCAGGGCUGUGAGAGCUUAAAGGUGUUUCCCAUCGGUUUCGGUGAGCUUGCCUGGGAAAAAUUGACUACAACCAAUGUUAAGAUAUUCAGAUUGUCCGACUAAGGUGGGAGUAAGCAGGAUGUGAUAAAGGUGAAGAAUGGAUCAUCUCCCAGUUGGCUAAUGGUUCAAACUAACGCUCAAGUCUUUCCUCGAGUCGUCAUUAAAAAUUACUUGAGAGCUUUGCAAUGAGUUAGCGGGAAUGGUUUAGAGAUGCAGCAGCAAAAACAAAGUUUCUGGGUUCAUUCUCCGUAGGCGAAGCUCCCCAAUUAGUUGCCAAAAGUAGGUCGAGCUUUGAUUUAAAUAGCAAUUGAUGCAUGGUUUCUUUUCCACUUCACUCUAGCAUGUGGCCUAUGAUCUCUAAAUUGCGGAAGGGUCCCUCUUCAUUCCCACCAUGUGGCAGCUUCUCAAUUUCUCACGCUAUUUUUAAAAAACUUUUCGACUCAAACAAUGCUUGCAGCAGAAUGUUUCAUGUGGAGGCUUUGCAAGGAAACAGAGCAAGAACCAAAGGGAGUUCUCAAGAAUUCUCGCCAGUGCGCCACAUGGUUCCCUACUUGUUUUCGGAAAUGCCUCAUCUUUCAAAUAACAUCUACGGUGACACAAGACACAUGGAGACACCAUGGAGGUUUAGAAUUUCGAUAAAAAAGGGACACCUCAAAAACCCCCACCAAAGUUUCGCGUGGCUAGAGCGCAUGUGGUCCCAACAAGCUUAUAUGAAACUUUCCAAGCGCUAGCGGAAAGUGCCACUUGUCGACCAAGCGGAGGAUUCAGAAGACCUCAAGCACAAAGGGAAAUGUGGGCAUGCCAUUGGCCAAUGAAAACAAAAAUGAGCCGAGACACACGGUGUGACCAAAAAGUCCUGAGAAAUCUAGGUGGCACUCGUGCCAUGUGUUUGGGGAAGGGUGAUAAUGCAAAAAUCCCUCAUGUGAAUGUAGUUGCAACAACUGCUAUGAUAAGAUUAACACGCGAUAGAUAUGUAGACAUGGAUUCAGUUGCAACAACCAUUAUUAAUCUGUAGAAGAAAUUCUAUUUAAGCCUAUAGGCAUUCCUAUAAUAAGGGUUCAACACUUUUGAAA